CAACAGCCGCGGUAAUACCGGCGGCCCGAGUGGCGGUCACUAUUAUUGGGCUUAAAGCGUCCGUAGCCGGGUUGGGAAGUCCUCCGGGAAAUCUGGCCGCUUAACGGUCAGAAUGCCGGAGGAUACUCCCAGCCUAGGGAGCGGGAGAGGCCGAGGGGAUUCCCGGAGUAGGGGGGAAAUCCUAUAAUCCCGGGAGGACCACCUGUGGCGAAGGCGCUCGGCUGGAACGCGUCCGACGGUGAGGGACGAAGGCCAGGGGGGCAAACCGGAUUAGAUACCCGGGUAGUCCUGGCUGUAAACGAUGCGGACUUUGUGUCGGACAAGCUAUGAGCUUGUCCGGUGCCGGAGGGAAACCGUUAAGUCCGCCGCCUGGGGAGUACGGCCGCAAGGCUGAAACUUAAAGGAAUUGGCGGG
rnacentral:rRNA from 1 species